CCUACGGGAGGCAGCAGUGAGGAAUAUUGGUCAAUGGGCGAGAGCCUGAACCAGCCAAGUCGCGUGAGGGAGUACUGCCCUAUGGGUUGUAAACCUCUUUUGUCGGGGAGCAAAAGCCGGACGUGUCCGGCUGUGAGAGUACCCGAAGAAAAAGCAUCGGCUAACGUCGUGCCAGCAGCCGCGGUAAUACGGGGGAUGCGAGCGUUAUCCGGAUUUAUUGGGUUUAAAGGGGUCUUAGGCGGUCCGUUAAGUCAGCGGUAAAAAUGCGGGGCUCAACCCCGUCGAGCCGUUGAGAAUGGCAGACUUGAGUUGGCGAGAAGUACGCGGAAUGCGCGGUGUAGCGGUGAAAUGCAUAGAUAUCGCACAGAACUCCGAUUGCGAAGGCAGCGUACCGGCGCCAGACUGACGCUGAGGCACGAAAGCGUGGGGAUCGAACAGGAUUAGAUACCCUGGUAGUC
rnacentral:rRNA from 1 species